ensembl:lncRNA
CAAUCGUACCAGCAGUAUUUAUGACCGGCGCACUCAACUGGUCUUCACCAGAUUAUCUGCCAACUUUACCUCUGAAACCCACCUACCAAGCUCUCCUGGAUACCAGUUUGCUGCCGCCGGUAAUCCCUCUCCGUUUUGGAGCUGCCAUUCUCGCCUGCCUGCCUCCCUGCAUUGCAUGCAGCACCCACCUGGACCUCUCCUGCCUCCCCCCUCCACGCAACCCCCACCUGCAAGCUUGUAAGACAGCUCAGUGUACUAUCCUUAGAUUCACUCGCAACCCUCUGUGGGAUUCCCCUGACUGCUCUGUCCUCUGUUUCAGUGCCCUGGCCCGCCACAGUUUCCCCUGCCCAGUACCUGCACCCAGUUAUCC